GGGGGUGUUUGUGGCUCAAAGGUAGAGCAUCUGCCUUGAAUGCAGAAAGCCCUAAGUCCAAUAACCAGCAUCUCUG